UUCCUAUCGACUCUGCUUUUCUCUUGCUGUUUGCUCUCACAGGAAAUAUAUCUGCUCCAGUGCUUUUGCUUCCCUGAUGGCUUCCUCUGCAAUCGUAGCUACCUUCUGCCCCUUCACAUCACAGAAACAGCCUCAUCCAGGUUCCCGGGACUUUUCCCAUCCUGCAGCCUUACCGUUUCUUUUCUGGGAUUGUUUCUCUGCAUGGGCAUGUCCAAUUGUUUCCUUAUGUUCACCAGCUGUUGUUCUCCAAGUCUGGCCUCCACGGGAGUGAUCACAACUACCAUGUCCUUAACCUUGCCUUUCUUCACUCUACACACUGUUACUGCUGCAGAUGCUGGCAGCUCUCAGUUCCGCCUUCAGCUUUCUCCAAGGCAAGGGCACUAGGCAUUCAGGCUGGCCACUGACAGCAAUGCCCUGGGUGUCCUGGUAAGUGCAACGCGAAACAGCCCCUCAAAAUAGCAAUUGUCAGUUGAAAACUAUGACUCAUUUUGACACUUUUUGGCUGUUUUAACUGCGUAAACCAUUUGUAGUGACUCAGUGUGAAAACUUGCCUGCGCAGCUUGCAAAAGGCGAGGUCAGUGCUAGAAUUAGCACUGCACACUUCUUCUAGGGAGGUGGUCCUGAAUGAAAGGGGACCCUGAGCCCUGGCAGCUGUCUUCCCACGCAGGGUGAAAAGCACCAAGAAGUGACUUCUAGUACUAACCUGACCAGCCACCAGAAACAGAUGCCUUUUGUUUUCAAAUGGCCAAUAAGAUCAGAUCAGCACUGGCACCAUUGUCUGUGUUUUCACCCAGUGGAAGACUGCGGCAUGGUGUAAACAAUUAUGGCACUGAGUAAGGCAUAAUCGAUCACAGAAGAGCCACAAAGGAUACGUUUGCCAAAGGAUACAUUUGCCAAAGCAUGGUUUAAAGAUCAGGAUCUGUAUAAUGGAGCUAGCACACUUAAGACAGUGAAAAAGGAGGCAUCAGCAUUCUGUGGGGUGAAAUAUAAAAUGGAGAGUCAUAAAAAGACUUUCACAGUCCUUUACCGUUGUUGCAUUUUCUGCAUCACAGCAAAGCUCUAUCUUCCACUUAUCAGAAGGUCCCUCACUCUGAUAAACUGGUAUUUGUAUUCUCCGUAACUAAAAACUAAAUGCCUUGCUUCUUCCCAGAUGCAGACUAGUUUACUGUUGUGCAGUGAGAGAUCUUCCUGUAUGAUGUGGGUCCUGGUCAUUGCUAUAGUCUGAAAGCUUUAGGUUGGGGUCACUCUACUAAAAUCAGGAAUGGCAAAGGUGGGUGUUCAGAGACACCCCACAAUAUGUGGCCACAGGAUAAAAAGCUGGGUCCUACAGGCAAUAUUAUAACCUUCUAAAGGCUAUAACCUUCUAAAGGCCACAUCCUGUGGCAGUAUCAUCUCUCAUUUCUCCUUUUCUGCCACCCCUGAACAGAAUAUCCUUUCUUUUGUUGUAGUGUUUUACAAAUGAAAGGUUCCCUCCUCCUAGCCAAACCUUAUGCUGAUAAAGGUCAAGUUAAGCUACUCUGAAACCUGGGUAUCAGCACAGCUCUUCAAGAUGCAGAUAAGAACGAAGUUCCUUUGCAGAAGCAGGUGAUUGAAAUAUAAGGAGUUUGGAAAACUGCAACACAGAGACAUUUCUCCUCUAGACAAAAAGACAAGCAGAUCCAUCCAGAGUUCUGAGGCUUUAGGCAUAAAGGUUACAGCGUAUGAAGAGAGUAGUGGUGAAGAUCCACAAAAAAACAAGUGAAGUAGCAAAACUAAUCCUGGCUCACAAGAACACUGAGCCUGACCCUCAAAACAAACCCAAGAGAUCAAGUCUACCAGGAGAAGACCUGAAUUUGUGAGUAGUUUGUGUAUUUUCUGCUCUUCGAUUCAUUCUGGGCACAGAUGUUACCACCUGGUUUCAUCACUGCUUUUUCCUCCCCCAGAUUAGAGCAAUCAAUGAGAUCAGCUACCUUUAGCAGAAGGGUGACAAGCACCAUGGUGUUUGGCUGCCUUCUGCAUGUAACUGUAAUAGUUAAUUCAGUCUGCUCGGCCUUCUACAGUCUCCUACAGGGCCUUCUUAAAUACCCUGUAGAGAAACUAUGGUUUGUAUGACAGGUCAGGUGGGGCCAGCUUCCUGCUUCUGAUCUCUCACACUAAUUGAUGUCAGCAGGCCUGCCAGCAGCGGCUGCUUACACAUGGCACUCUACAGAGACACAGCAGGGAGCUUCCACCCAAGUUAGCAGCAGCUCACAGACUGACUGCAUCAGUUAUAUUCAGAUCGUGUUGUCAAGCUUUCAAGUGUUUGGAGGGAAACAUCAUCACACAGGAGUAUGCUGUGUACCUGAGAGGGAAGAAGAUUAACAAAAAGCAAGGAAGGGAAUACAACCAAGAGAAGGCAUGUUUCCCAUAUUUAGGCAAAGAUAAUAUGGAAGAGAUUUGUUUAAAGGAAGCUGUUUGAUUCUGUCUAUUUGAAUUGUUACCUGUCUAUCAAUCCUCUUCACAACUGAAGGAAAAUCUGACUUUCAAUUGUUUAAUCUUCUCUGCACAGUUACCUGCAAUUCUGUUUUUCAGCAGAGGUCUCACAAACCCAAACCCAGUAUUAAGUACAUUCUUACUCAAACAGAAAUGUUAAAGCAUGGUGCUUAAAGUACCUACAGCAAAAAAACCUCUCUAAACCUGCUGCACCUGAGCAUACCUUUCUGCCCCAGGAACAAAGUCUUCUCAGAACAAUUAGCUUUUCUUCUUUAUUGCCAGUACGAUACAGCUGAAGCUGAUGAAAAUCUUUGAGCAUGUUUUACUUGAGCGUAUAAUAUGGGCACUCUACAGAAGGCUGUAAUGAAAUGGCUGCUAGACAGAUUAGUACAAAAUCAAUGAGUGACACUCAUAAGAUCACUGAGUUUUCACUGGUUUUACUGUUGUUCGAUAGCGUUUGUCAAACCCUGCACAAGUCCCUCCUGCCAUCAUACUAUGAACUUGUGCCCUUCCCUUAACAAAGGGAGCAACGAUCGACAGAUGCUGUCAAACCUCUUGAUACCUUCAGCACCACUUCUUUAGCGCUAGUUUCCGGACAAAAUCCACAAACAGCCUGUGCACCUUGGCCUGACUCUUGGCUUCUAGUCUUUCCCAAAUGGAUCCUUUGAAAGGAGGUAGCUAAGACAUGUGAGUGACAAGCGUAUCUCAGCCUCUUCUGGGAUGGAGUACAGACACACCCACUCGUAAUUACUUAAGACCAGGAGUGAAAAAAAAACGCAGUGAAACUACCCAGUAAGUGAAGGACUGGCGUUUCUCAAAUUGUUAUUUACUCUUAAGUAAAAACCUUUCAACUCUGCUGAUACCAGUCCUCCCUGGGAAUAACUGCUUGCAAAAUGGUAAGGCUAGGAGGCUGAAAGACAGACAUUUCCAGCAACACCAAGCCCUGGAGCAACAGUGAAGUAUUAGGUAAUACCUGAGAAAGCCCUGGUAAUGGUGUUUGCUGAAGAGAGAAAUACACUGAGAGGAGGAAGUGGCAAACAGAAAGCACUUUUGUAAUCUGAGAGCCUCCUGUGGAAAUUCCCCACCUAUGAAUAGCAGAACAGCCAGUGUUCAUAUCCUCUGUUUACUUAAACUCACAGGUACUAAUCUCACCGGCCAGGCUUUCCCCAUGUUUUAUUUCACUCCUUUGUCAGAAGCCACUGAACCAUUUCCUGAAACGUUAAUACAUCAACGAGAAAGUGGAAAGCAGUGCCACUGCAGAACUGGGACAGGGCCUUCAAAAGCAUGUUGUGAUGCUGCUGAAGUCGACUGCUAGUUUCGACCAAGUGACAGGCAGGAGCAUGCCACCUCAUGUGCGCAUGCACGUGCAGCUGCCUUGUGAAGGCACACUGCAGCAUUGACAUUCAGGCAGCAGGCUGAGAGCCAGCGUGGAAAGAAACAGCAUCACACUAAUUUCUUCCUUUUUUAAUUAACAUUUGUCAGACUUGGAGAGAAGCCCAGACUGCAAAAAUUUGGACACAAAAUUCUAAGAGCUCAGAAGCUGGAAAUGUUCACAUACAGGCUCUUCAUUUAUGCCUAGUCUUUUUUUAUAGGUCAUGCAGAGAUGACUUAAUUGCUCUUACUGUAACUUACAAUUAGCAGUACAGUGAUUUUUUCUUGUAUGUCAUGGUGCACAGCAGAGCUAUGCUCCAGUGAAAGUGACAAUGUUUAAUAGUAGGUGGGCAUUUGUUUUCAAGAAGGAAUUUUCCCUGCAGUUCCUCUCUUGCGGGUGGGGGAAGAAGAAAGCCUUUAUUGCCAUCAGCAGCAAAGAGUGAGGAUAUUGUGACCCAAUCCAGGAGUUGUUUGUAACGGUUGGUGGUUUCUCAAAUUGAUGUGAACUUCUAGUUCACCUUCCUGCGCAGCACUUAUCAAUGCAAGCUCAAAUGAUUACUUGUGUCAUUACCAAAAUACUGAAUUCUUGACAUACGAUUGAAAGCCACUAUUAAACUCUUGCAAUUUCAGUGCUAA